rnacentral:rRNA from 1 species
AUUUUAUUGUAUCGACAAUCACCUAGACUUUUACACCUUGUGAGCACUUAGUAUUUUGCUGAAGAUUCAUGUUGGCGAUCCUAGUCUAUCAUCAUCAUAUUUUAUUUUAUUAUUUUUAAAGUUAUUGCAUUGACAACUAUACUCACAAUUUAUCUAGUUUAUAUCCAGUUAUUGCACUAACAUUUAUAGACAAAAGACUACCAUCUCUGUGGGAUCGAUAUCUGAUAGACUCAAAUCUAUCUGCUAUACUUGCAUCGACAAUGUACACUUGCACAUUAUUGUUGUAAUGUUAAAUAGGUGAUCAAUGGCGCACAUGGAAUCCUAUGUGAAUCAACAAGGACCACAUUACAAGGCUAAAUACUCCUAGGCGACCGAUAGUGAAGUAGAAUCAUGAGGGAAAGGUAAAAAGAACCCCCGUUAAGAAGUAAAAUAGAACAUGAAACCAUAAGCUCCCGAGAAGUGGAAGGAGCCCAGGGCUCUAACCACAUGCUUGUUAAAGAAUGAGCCGACAACUCAUAAGCAGCGGGUUGAUUAAGGGAACUCAGCGGAGCCGUAGCGAAAGCAAGUAUUCGUAGGGCAAUUGUCACUUCUUAUGGACCCAAACCUGGGUGAUCUAUCCAUGACCAGGAUGAAGCAUGAGUUGAACUAAGUGGAGGUCUUAACCGAUUGAUGUUGAAGAAUCAGCGGAUGAGUGGUGGUAAUGGGUGAAAUGCCACUUGAACCCAAAGCUAGCUGGUUUUCCUCGAAAUGCGUUGAGGCGCAGCAGUUGAUUGGACAUCUAGGGGUAAAGCACUAUUUUGGUGCGGGCCGCGAGAGCAGUACCAAAUCGAAGCAAAAUAUAAAUACUAGAUAUGACCUUAAAAUAACAAGGGUCGAGGUCGGCCAAUAAGGCGAUGGGGGAUAAGCUUCAUUGUUGAGAGGGAAACCGCUUGGAUCACCAGCUAAGGCCCCUAAAUGACCGCUCUAUGAUAAAAGAGGUAGAGCUGCAGAGACAGCCAGGAAGUUUUCCUAGAAGCAGCCAUGCUUAACAGAGUACGUAAUAGCUCACUGAUCAAGCACUUUUACGCUAAAGAUGAAAGGGGCUAAGUGAUCUGCCAAAGCUGCAGGAUGUAAAAAUGCAUUGGUAGGGGAACGUUCUGUCUUAGGGGGAAGCACCCGUGUGAGCGGGAGUAGAUGAAGUAGAAGUGGGAAUGUCAGCUUGAGUAAUGCAAACAUUGGUGAGAAUCCAAUACCCCGAAAACCCAAGGGUUCCUCCGCAAGGUUCAUCCAGAGAGGGUGAGUCAGGGCCUAAAAUCAUGCCGAAAGGCAUAGUCGAUGGACAACAGGUGAAUAUUCCUGUACUACCCCUUAUUGGUCUCGAGGGAUGGAGGAGGCUACGUUACCCGAAAGACGAUUAUCGAUUCAAGGAUGCAAGGUGCCCUUACUUUUUCAGGGUAAGAAGGGGUAGAGAAAAUGCCCCAAGCCAAUGUUCGAGUACCCGGCACUACAGUGCUAAAAGGUACCUAUACCCAAAAUCGACACAGGUGGGUAGUUAGAGAAUACCUAGGGGCGCAAGAUAACUAUCUCUAAGGAACUCAGAAAAAUAGCUAUGUAACUUCGGGAGAAGAGGUGCUUCCUCACAAAAGGGGUCGUAGUGACCAGGCUUAGGCGACUGUUUACCAAAAACACAAGUCUCCACAAAGUUGUAAGACCAUGUAUGGGGGCUGACGCCUACCCAGUACCGGAAGGUCAAGGAAGUUGGUGACCUAAUGACAAGAGAGCCAGUAACUGAAGCCCCGGUGAACGGCUGUAACGCCCCGUACCCGAGACCGUCGCCGGAGUCAAACACGAGGUGUUAAUAGACUUAAUUCAUUACUUAAACAGCUCAAACAAUUUAUUUUUAAAAUUUUCAGUCAAGCUAACAAUCUGCGUCAUAGUCGCUUAAAAAUUCAUAUCUCGAGUUACGAAACUUGAAAUCCAAUUCCGUAAAUUUUCCCUGAAACUAGACUUAUGUAUCUAUUUACUAAUUUUUUUAUAGAUUUUUUUUUCAAGCAAAUUAGUACAUUUUAUUAGUUAAAGUCUCCCCUAUUUCAGAGUUUGACUGCUCUGACCUCUAUGUAUUACGAAUCAAAUAUCUCCCUGUACAGAGUUUCAAUGACUAUACCAUUUGAUUCUAAUAAAACUAGACUCAAUAAGAAAUCUGUAAAUAUAAAUUAUUACUUCUAAUUAUUUUUGAAAAUUUUAUGGUGAAUUUCCAAAGUCAUAACAGGGGAUCCAGAAAUUGCUCUGGCCCUGUUUCACAAAAAUUUAAACAUCUCAUAAAAAAUAACUCAUAUACCUAUUUUGUUCCAUCCAUAUAAAAAUAGACUCAUAAUUAUUCAAUUCCAUAUAUUAUUCAUCAUCUAAUUGUAUCUCUACUAUUUUUAGUGAUUUUUCAAACUCACGUCACUGCUGCUGACUGAAUCUAUUUUAUGGUAAAUUUUACAUAUUUCAUGGUUUCCAUGGAUUGGCUAGCAAUUUAGCAUACAUAACACCAAAUAUGAUCAUGAUUGGCCAUUCCAAUGGCUAAUCAUUACCAAUCAUUUCCAUACCACUCAAUAACCAUAUCAUAAGACCAUAUACACAAAAUGAUUAUAAUGCUAUACAUGCCAUACUCAAAAUAUACAAGCCAUUAUGCCAAGAUGGUAUACGGAUAGUGUGAGCGUGCCUCUGACCGUUUCCAAUUUCCGAGCUGGCUUGU